CAUUCUCCUUGCUUAUAGCAUCAACCAUGCAGUGAUACUUUGUUUUCUUUUUCAGAGUAAAUAACUGUAGUAGUUCUUUGGUCACUAUUUUUGCUAUAUUAAGUAAAUUUCUUUCAUGCCAAUUGGUUGGGUAAUGAACUAGUGAUCUACUUAUAUGAAUUUGGAUAAUCUUUCCCUCAUUAGCUAGCUUUUGAGGUUGAGUUAGACCCAAGUGUCAUAUGUUUACAUGGUAUAAGAGCUAGGUCGUUCCAUGUUUGGGGCCCAAUGUUAUAUUGUGCACUCUCCAGUUGGGAGAGCUGGCCUUGGGCAUUGGGCUUGGGUGUGAAGAUGUGGUUGGAGUUUGUAUUGGUGGUUUGCUUAUAUGGACUUGGACAAUCCUCCUCAUGAGCUAGCGUCUGGGUUGUGAGUAAGGCCCAAAUACCAUAUGUUUACCGGGAUUGUUUUGUAGGCUAAUAUUGGAAAUCUCAUUCUAACAAAUUUAUAUUUGAUGUUUUACCAUCUCAUCUAACAAUUUUAAGUUUGUGAAUUUAAAACCUCUGUAAGUAGAAUGCUUCCCGCCAAAUUUUAAUGAUGUGGUGCUCUCAAAUGUUUUAAUAUACAAUCUUGGAGUAACAACAACAAUAACAUACCAAAUGUAAUCUCACAAGUGGAGGCUGGGGUGUGUAGAGUGUAUGCAAACGUUACCCCUACCUUGUGGAGGUAGAGAGGCUAUUUCCGAAAGACCCUCGGCGCUAGAACAGCAAAUCAAAGUAGCUAUGGAAAAGGAAAUACAACAUUAAAGAUACACAAUUUUGGAGUGGCUGAAUAAUUAUUGUGUCUGUUUCUAUUUCUGAUUAUUGAGUUUUGUGAUGUUGCUUAUUGUUGUCUUUGUAGCUUUCUUCUAGUGAGGAAUAAAAAUGGUCUAUUGAUGUUAUCCAAGUCAGUGCAAGUGUUAGGUGUUAGGUCUAGUGGAUAUCUCAUUACAGGAUAAUAAAAAGAAUGGUGAAAGUAAUGUUACCAGUUUCAAAAAAAAAAAGAAUGGUAAAAGUUUUAAUUUGUUUGCUUUAUCUUUUAAGGAAGGUGCUAGACUUCUAGGAAUUCAGAAAGACUCCUCAUUGUGUUGGGCAUCAGAUUGAUAGUUGAAUCGAGGAGUUCAACAGAAACUCUGCAUAUGCAUUAGCCUAAGGUUUAUAAAUAUUCAAUUUGUUAAAUUGCUUGUGUUUAGUAAUUUAAUUAGCAGAAUUUUGAAAUUCUUACCAACAUUUUCGUCGUUAGUUCUAGAUAGUUUUAAAGAAGAAAGUUGGAAAGUAAGUUUUGGGGGACUAGGUACUAUUGUGCAGAUUAAUACAAUUUCAUCAAGACAUUCAUGAAGAUAAAUACGAUAGUAAUAAGAAAAAAAAAAUUAUGUUGUUUGGAAAUUGAGAAUUUCCAUUUGAGUUGAGUCAAAGCAGUUGCCUUGGUUUUAGUCUAUCAUAAGCAAAAAGACAUCAAAACCAUGCCUUUUGAGCCUAAAAGAAUUUUAUUUAGGUGGAAACAAAUAUGACAGUCAUUUUGUCUUCAAGUUAUUAAAGAGUAUACACUAAGUAGUCUUAACAAACCAUAAAGAAGCAUCCAGCAAUUAUGAGGCCGCUUAUCUGAAAUCCUAUCUAUAUUGUUUAUUAUAUCUUAUGGGUCAUGGUUUGUGAUAUUCUUUUUCCAUUUUUGGCUUCAUUUAUCAAAUGAAACAGGCAUAUCUCUGGUUUGUUAGAUGCCACGUCCAAGCUUUCAUUUCCCUAUUUAACAUUAUCUUCUAAAUGUGGGCUAUCCAGAUUUACACAUGUGCAAUGCACAUGUCAUCUCAUAUAAAACAUAGACAGCACCAAAGACUUAGUUUUGCUUUCUUGCAACAUAUUAUAUCUGUUAUUUAAGCUGUAAGGUAGGUGGUUCAAAGAGAUCAUUUUUCCCCUUCCUAUAAUUGAAUUUUUGUUCAGGAUUUUGAGUGUUGGCAGUCAUGUGGGUGAGGCAUGCAAUGAUGUCAAGCAUUAUUGCAAAGAGGGUAUCCCCAAAAGUUGAUGUUAUGUGGGUUGGACUAGUAACAAGAUGACACAAAUCAAUAGCCUCUUUACUGAAAAGGACACUCAAAAGUUUUUUCUUUAAGAUUUGUAUCAAAAUCUAUGUCACCAUUGGUUCCCUUGGGGACCCUUUCUCAUUGGUGUUGACACGUUAUUGAAAAUUGGUCCCUUGACUUAAUCUUCUGCAGCUUUUUGAGGAGAUAUUGGUUUGUUGGUUCAAUUGUUUUCAGCUGAAUAUGCCUUUAAUAAACUCCUUUUUUUUUU
rnacentral:lncRNA from 1 species